rnacentral:rRNA from 1 species
GAUUAUGGCCAGGAUGAACGCUGGCGGCGUGCUUAACACAUGCAAGUCGAACGAAGCUCUUCGAACGGAGAUUCGGUCAAAGCGAGAAGAUGACUUAGUGGCGGACGGGUGAGUAACGCGUGGGGAAUCUGCCCCGUACCGGGGGAUAACACUUAGAAAUAGGUGCUAAUACCGCAUAAGCGCACGGUGUCGCAUGACACAGUGUGAAAAAACUCCGGUGGUACGGGAUGAUCCCGCGUCUGAUUAGCCAGUUGGCAGGGUAACGGCCUACCAAAGCGACGAUCAGUAGCCGGCCUGAGAGGGUGAACGGCCACAUUGGGACUGAGACACGGCCCAAACUCCUACGGGAGGCAGCAGUGGGGAAUAUUGCACAAUGGGGGAAGCCCUGAUGCAAGCGACGCCGCGUGAGUGAAGAAAUAUCUCGGUAUGUAAAGCUCUAUCAGCAGGGAAGAAAAUGACGGUACCUGACUAAGAAGCCCCGGCUAACUACGUGCCAGCCGCCGC